GACGAACGCUGGCGGCGUGCUUAACACAUGCAAGUCGAACGGAAAGGCCCUGCUUUUGUGGGGUGCUCGAGUGGCGAACGGGUGAGUAACACGUGAGUAACCUGCCCUUGACUUUGGGAUAACUUCAGGAAACUGGGGCUAAUACCGGAUAGGAGCUCCUGCUGCAUGGUGGGGGUUGGAAAGUUUCGGCGGUUGGGGAUGGACUCGCGGCUUAUCAGCUUGUUGGUGGGGUAGUGGCUUACCAGGGCUUUGACGGGUAGCCGGCCUGAGAGGGUGACCGGCCACAUUGGGACUGAGAUACGGCCCAGACUCCUACGGGAGGCAGCAGUGGGGAAUAUUGCACAAUGGGCGGAAGCCUGAUGCAGCAACGCCGCGUGCGGGAUGACGGCCUUCGGGUUGUAAACCGCUUUCGCCUGUGGCGAAGCGUGAGUGACGGUAAUGGGUAAAGAAGCACCGGCUAACUACGUG
rnacentral:rRNA from 1 species